UCCUACGGGAGGCAGCAGUAGGGAAUCUUCGGCAAUGGACGAAAGUCUGACCGAGCAACGCCGCGUGAGUGAAGAAGGUUUUCGGAUCGUAAAGCUCUGUUGUAAGAGAAGAACGGGUGUGAGAGUGGAAAGUUCACACUGUGACGGUAUCUUACCAGAAAGGGACGGCUAACUACGUGCCAGCAGCCGCGGUAAUACGUAGGUCCCGAGCGUUGUCCGGAUUUAUUGGGCGUAAAGCGAGCGCAGGCGGUUAGAUAAGUCUGAAGUUAAAGGCUGUGGCUUAACCAUAGUACGCUUUGGAAACUGUUUAACUUGAGUGCAGAAGGGGAGAGUGGAAUUCCAUGUGUAGCGGUGAAAUGCGUAGAUAUAUGGAGGAACACCGGUGGCGAAAGCGGCUCUCUGGUCUGUAACUGACGCUGAGGCUCGAAAGCGUGGGGAGCGAACAGGAUUAGAUACCCUGGUAGUCCACGCCGUAAACGAUGAGUGCUAGGUGUUAGGCCCUUUCCGGGGCUUAGUGCCGCAGCUAACGCAUUAAGCACUCCGCCUGGGGAGUACGACCGCAAGGUUGAAACUCAAAGGAAUUGACGGGGGCCCGCACAAGCGGUGGAGCAUGUGGUUUAAUUCGAAGCAACGCGAAGAACCUUACCAGGUCUUGACAUCCUGAUGCCCGCUCUAGAGAUAGAGUUUUACUUCGGUACAUCGGUGACAGGUGGUGCAUGGUUUGUCGUCAGCUCGUGUCGUGAGAUGUUGGGUUAAGUNCCGCAACGAGCCCCACCCUUAUUGUUAGUUGCCAUCAUUCAAUUGGGCACUCUANCGAGACUGCCGGUAAUAAACCGGAGGAANGNNGGGAUGACNUCAAAUCAUCNUCCCCCUAUGACCUGGCUCCNACCUGCUACAUGGCUGGUACAAC
rnacentral:rRNA from 1 species